rnacentral:misc_RNA from 1 species
AAUUUUUUUUUUAAAAAAAAAAUUUAUAAAAAAGAAAAGUAGUUUAGAAUAGGUUAGUUUGAAACUAUUAACAUCUAUUAAUUUAAGUAGUUAUUCCCAUAAGCACAAACAAAAAUGUUAAACAUUUUGAAAUAACUCAAAGAAUAACCUAUGUUUAAGGAUUGAAUGUCAACAAACUUUUAAGCUAUUAUAUUAUUAAUGUUACGCCUACAAGCAACAUAACAGUUUGGAUCUUGAAGUUGCUUCAGCCUUAACUUUGCUGUAGCUUUUGUAAAAUUUUAAAUUAUGAAAAAAUUAAAAGAAAAAUACAAGUUUAAAGCUGCUAAUAGUUAAUAUCAUAACCCUGGAAAGAGCAUAAGUGAGGUUACAAGGAUCAAUGCUGCAAACAAAAAAUUUAAAUUGAUAGAAUACUUAAGCUAGAAUAUGCAAAAGCCCAUUACUCUAGAGUUUUUAACUUUUCAUCAUUAAAGUUUCAAUCAAACACCAAACCGGCUGCCUUCAUGACAAAUAAGACCAUACAGUAAUGAUAUUACUUUGAUCUACACAACCUAAGAGUAAAUAUCAUCAACCAUAACUCAAAUUUCAACAUUUUUCCCCUCCAAACCUAGCAACGCAUACAGCUGAGAACUUGACACUAAUUAAUCAAAAACCAAAUGCAAAUAGCACAA